rnacentral:rRNA from 1 species
CCCGCUGAACUUAAGCAUAUUAAUAAGCGGAGGAAAAGAAACUAACAAGGAUUCCCCUAGUAACGGCGAGUGAAGCGGGAAUAGCUCAAUUUUAAAAUCUCCGUGUCAUGCGGCGAAUUGUAAUUUAUAGAAGCAUUUUCUAGGACAAAAGCUUGGUAUAAAUCCCUUGGAAUGGGGUAUCAUAGAGGGUGAGAAUCCCGUCUUUGACUGAGUUUUUUAAUUUUGUUCUUAUACGAUAUGCUUUCUAAGAGUCGGGUUGUUUGGGAAUGCAGCCCAAAAUGGGUGGUAAAUUUCAUCUAAAGCUAAAUAUUGGCAUGAGACCGAUAGCGAACAAGUACCGUGAGGGAAAGAUGAAAAGAACUUUGAAAAGAGAGUUAAAAGUACGUGAAACCGCCAAAAGGGAAACGAUUGGAACUAGCAAUUCGUACUAUGGCAAAUCAAAUAUUCCAAUAAAAUGAUCAAAUUGUGUAUGAGAGCUUUACCGCCUUGUUAUAAUUUGUUAAUUAUUUUAUUAAUAUUGCACUUUGUCAUAUGCUACAAGUCAACAUGGGUUUCAUUAAUGUGGGAAAAAGCUAAUUAGAAAGGUAGCCAUUUUGACUUGUCAUCAUGGUGUUAUAGUCUAUUGGUUUUACCACGUUUGAGACUGUGGAUGUCGCAAGGUGUGCCUCUCGGGGCUAGACCUCUAUAACCUAAUUAGAGUCUACUUUUAGGACUGAAUCAAAUUUUUUGACCAGUGUUAAUCGUAGGUCUUUGGCUAGGACCGUAGAGUAAGUCAUAUUAUUCACCUUUCGGAUGUUGACAAAAUAGUUUUAACCGACCCGUCUUGAAACACGG